rnacentral:rRNA from 1 species
GACAAACGCUGGCGGCAUGCCUAACACAUGCAAGUCGAACGGACAGAACAGGGAAGCUUUUCGGAGUGGAACUGGAAAGUUAGUGGCGGAUGGGUGAGUAACGCGUGGACAACCUACCUUGUAAAGGGGAAUAACCUCGAGAAAUCGAAGCUAAUACCCCAUAAUAACCUUGCUUCGCAUGAAGUAAGGAGGAAAGGCGGCCUUAGCGCUGUCGAUACAAGAUGGGUCCGCGUCUGAUUAGCUAGUUGGUGAGGUAAAGGCUCACCAAGGCGACGAUCAGUAGCCGGCCUGAGAGGGUGAGCGGCCACAUUGGGACUGAGACACGGCCCAAACUCCUACGGGAGGCAGCAGUGGGGAAUCUUCCGCAAUGGGCGAAAGCCUGACGGAGCAAUGCCGCGUGAGUGAAGAAGGCCUUCGGGUUGUAAAACUCUGUCCUUAUCGAAGAGAGAGUGUUGUAGUAACUGACAAUACUAGGACGGUAGAUGAGGAGGAAGCCCCGGCUAACUAUGUG